GAUGAACGCUGGCGGCGUGCCUAAUACAUGCAAGUCGAGCGAACAGACGAGGAGCUUGCUCCUCUGACGUUAGCGGCGGACGGGUGAGUAACACGUGGAUAACCUACCUAUAAGACUGGGAUAACUUCGGGAAACCGGAGCUAAUACCGGAUAAUAUAUUGAACCGCAUGGUUCAAUAGUGAAAGACGGUUUUGCUGUCACUUAUAGAUGGAUCCGCGCCGCAUUAGCUAGUUGGUAAGGUAACGGCUUACCAAGGCAACGAUGCGUAGCCGACCUGAGAGGGUGAUCGGCCACACUGGAACUGAGACACGGUCCAGACUCCUACGGGAGGCAGCAGUAGGGAAUCUUCCGCAAUGGGCGAAAGCCUGACGGAGCAACGCCGCGUGAGUGAUGAAGGUCUUCGGAUCGUAAAACUCUGUUAUUAGGGAAGAACAAAUGUGUAAGUACUAUGCACGUCUUGACGGUACCUAAUCAGAAAGCCACGGCUAACUACGUG
rnacentral:rRNA from 1 species